rnacentral:lncRNA from 12 species
AUGCAUUAUAAUAUCUCAGUAAAUAUGAGUUUUUUGUUAGUGCAGAUAUAUUAUUAUGAUUUUGUUUCAGGAUCUGUGAGUGAGACGGUCUCUUGUUGUACUCUUUAUUUUCUGAGACCUCUCCUGUUGCUCUGGGCGGCUCCGUAUAUUUAUCAUUUUACAGGCAAAAUCAAAUCAUUGAUUCUGAAAUACAGUUACGCGGUGGAAUAUUUAGCUCUCUCAGUUGUUGUUUAUUCAGCUCUUUUUACAAGUGCUUGGCAAAAACUUCUGAAUUAUGAUGUGUUUGAAAGAGCCAUGAUAAUAGUGCUGUUUGUGAUAGUGUUUGUGUGCUGCCUCUGCAAAAUCAUUUACCUUUUAGUUACAGAGGUCGGGAAGAAAAGUGGACGGAUAGUUAAAAUAUUUGAUCUUGUGGCUGAUAUGACCUUUCAAAUUCUGCCCACUUUACAAUUCAUCCUCCUCUUCUACACGUUUGGAGCUGCUGGUGAAGCAGGGUUGAUCAUGAUUGUGGUUUUACCAGUGUUACUGAUGAUGAUGACAAAUGAGAGAUGGCUUUAUAAAUGCAGAUAUGGGCUCGGCUUUUCACCUUCAGUCAUGAAGACAGUGAUGUUAAUCUUCAUAUUAGUGACCAAUGUAUUGAUGAUCGGCCUUUACAUAUUCACCCUGGAAAACCAAACAGAUCCGAUCGGAUGGGGCUGUGUGAUGGUGUUUCUGCAGAUACUCUGGACCGUUAUGUACUUCACAGAUGCAGAUUUGUUCUACGGUUUUCUCAGUUUGUCUCGAGAUUUCCAGCGUUAUGUUUCUGUGUAUGUGUUUGGAUCAGUGGCUGUAGUUUUACUGAACUCUGCUGCAUUAAUAACUGAACUGAUGCUCAAAACAGUGAACGGUGAUCGUAUGAUGGCAGAUCUGAGGUUCAUCGUCUUUCCUUCUGAAUGUUUAUUUGCUGUAUCUCUGCUGAUUUCUGGAUUCUCAGGAUCCAAGAUCGCAGGCUGUCUGAAGUCUUGUCAGGUGAGUGCUGUUCAUAAAUCUGCAGCAUCAGG